rnacentral:rRNA from 1 species
UACGGAGGGUGCAAGCGUUAUCCGGAUUCACUGGGUUUAAAGGGUGCGUAGGCGGGCAGGUAAGUCAGUGGUGAAAUCUUCGAGCUUAACUCGGAAACUGCCGUUGAUACUACUUGUCUUGAAUACCGUGGAGGUGAGCGGAAUAUGUCAUGUAGCGGUGAAAUGCUUAGAUAUGACAUAGAACACCAAUUGCGAAGGCAGCUCACUACACGAAUAUUGACUCUGAGGCACGAAAGCGUGGGGAUCAAACAGG